AUUAAGCCUGCAUGUCUAAGUAUAAAUUCUUUUACUUUGAAACUGCGAACGGCUCAUUAUAUCAGUUAUAGUUUAUUUGAUAGUCCCUUACUACUUGGAUAACCGUAGUAAUCCUAGAGCUAAUACAUGCAUCAAUACCCAACUGUUCGCGGACGGGUAGUAUUUAUUAGAUAGAAACCAACCCUCUUCGGAGGCGCUCAGGUGAUUCAUGAUAACUCUGCGAAUCGCAUGGCCUCGUGCCGGCGAUGGACCAUUCAAGUUUCUGCCCUAUCAGCUUUGGAUGGUAGGGUAUUGGCCUACCAUGGCUUUAACGGGUAACGGAUAAUUAGGGUUAGAUUCCGGAGAGGGGGCAUGAGAGAUGGCCACCACAUCCAAGGAAGGCAGCAGGCGCGUAAAUUACCCAAUCCUGACACAGGGAGGUAGUGACAAUAAAUAACAAUGCCGGGCCUUUCUAGGUCUGGCAAUUGGAAUGAGAACAAUUUAAAUCCCUUAUCGAGGAUCAAUUGGAGGGCAAGUCUGGUGCCAGCAGCCGCGGUAAUUCCAGCUCCAAUAGCGUAUAUUAAAGUUGUUGCAGUUAAAAAGCUCGUAGUUGGAUUUCUGGUGGGAGCGAUCGGUCUGGCGCUUAGCGCGAGUACUUGCAUCGUCUCCGGCCAUCCUUGGGGAGAGUCUGUCUGGCAUUAAGUUGUCGGGCAGAGGAUCCUCAUCGUUUACU
rnacentral:rRNA from 1 species